rnacentral:rRNA from 1 species
UACGAAGGGGGCUAGCGUUGUUCGGAUUUACUGGGCGUAAAGCGCACGUAGGUGGAUAGUUAAGUGAGGGGUGAAAUCCCGAGGCUCAACCUCGGAACUGCCUUUCAUACUGGCUAUCUUGAGUUCGGAAGAGGUGAGUGGAAUUCCUAGUGUAGAGGUGAAAUUCGUAGAUAUUAGGAAGAACACCGGUGGCGAAGGCGGCUCACUGGUCCGAUACUGACACUGAGGUGCGAAAGCGUGGGGAGCAAACAGG